AUUGAACGCUGGCGGCAUGCCUUACACAUGCAAGUCGAACAGCAGCACGGGAGCAAUCCUGGUGGCGAGUGGCGAACGGGUGAGUAAAGUAUCGGGGCGUGCCCAGUCGUGGGGGAUAACGUAGCGAAAGUUACGCUAAUACCGCAUACGAGCUAUGGAUGAAAGCGGGGGAUCGCAAGACCUCGCGCGAUUUGAGCGGCCGAUAUCAGAUUAGGUAGUUGGUGGGGUAAAGGCUCACCAAGCCGACGAUCUGUAGCUGGUCUGAGAGGACGACCAGCCACACUGGGACUGAGACACGGCCCAGACUCCUACGGGAGGCAGCAGUGGGGAAUUUUGGACAAUGGGCGAAAGCCUGAUCCAGCCAUGCCGCGUGCAGGAUGAAGGCCUUCGGGUUGUAAACUGCUUUUGUACGGAACGAAAAGGUUUGGCCUAAUAAGCUGAGCUCAUGACGGUACCGUAAGAAUAAGCACCGGCUAACUACGUGCCAGCAGCCGCAGUAA
rnacentral:rRNA from 1 species